UACGUAGGGUGCGAGCGUUAAUCGGAAUUACUGGGCGUAAAGCGUGCGCAGGCGGUUGUGCAAGACAGAUGUGAAAUCCCCGGGCUCAACCUGGGAAUUGCAUUUGUGACUGCACGGCUAGAGUGUGUCAGAGGGGGGUAGAAUUCCACGUGUAGCAGUGAAAAGCGUAGAGAUGUGGAGGAAUACCGAUGGCGAAGGCAGCCCCCUGGGAUAACACUGACGCUCAUGCACGAAAGCGUGGGGAGCAAACAGG
rnacentral:rRNA from 1 species